rnacentral:lncRNA from 1 species
CAAAAAUCACCCAGGCAUGGUCUUCUGACAGUGCCAAAUGUACAUCGUUAAAGCCAAGCACUUGGCAACCAGCAACCACAGCAAGGGCGACACCAAAACAAUCCAAUUUGUUUCCUAGGGGAAAAAAGUGUAUCCAAAUUGAUUACAUCUGAAACUCUUUUUACAAGUUCACGUGUUGCAAACUCUGGACAGCCAUACUGUGUCACAUCCACUGAACUUUUGAUGACUGCCCUGAAUUUUACAUACAGUGCUUCCACUAUGGGCCAUUCAAUUUCUGGAAAAUCAUCUUCUUUUCUAACUGGUGGUAUUGCGAGAGGUUUUUCACUGGUUUCAUCAACAGUUGUCGUUAAAACAGUCGAUUUGGCGCCACUAAGAAUUUGUUGAUUGCAGGUAAGAGUAUUUUCAAUGCACCCAACGAUAAUCGAUAACAAGGCUAAAUCUGGUUCGGUAGUUCUUUUUAAAAUACUUUCAAAUAGUGAUACGACUGACGUAACGGUUUUCAAGGGAAAUAAUCUCUUCUCUUCCUCUGAGAGAGCGUCCAUAUUUCUUUUUCCCAUGCCUUGUUGUUGAUUUGUUGUGAAUGCGCCCGUCCGUCCAUACAUGCGGCCUACAUUGAUUGCAGUAGUCGGUCUACAGCCCAUUCGCCAUACUGUAGGGUUGUUCGUCCACGAACUAGCGCAUCUAGCGGCAUAAUUGGGUGGUAAAUAGUUUACAGCUACGUAGGUUAGUUAAUCGUUUGAGAGGCAUGGGGAAAAUAGGUUAACUUUGCGCGAUUCUGCCACUAGAUGAGCUAUCGGCUGUUCCUUCCCCAGAAAACACCACACGCUAUGUCAAAAACGCGCGAUAAGCUUUAGGCCAGCCGUGUCAAUGAAGUAUGCCAUUCCACGGACCGUUCCACUUUAAUCUAAGUACUGCGCUUAUAACUUUCAUAUGCCCAUCCAGAUCCGUACUUUCACCUUUCGGUUUCAUUUUUUAAGAACGCCCAUACCCGUGUACUAAAUUCCUUGACUAAACCUAGGUAUAGUGCCUCAAGCGCAGCACGUUUUACAUACACAUUCACUCUAUAUGUUAACGGGUACUCAUGGAGUACACGACCAAUUAAAAUUCCGGUUUGCAUUAAAAAUAGAAAGACAAAGCAAAACAAAUUCAAUGUCUGAAAUGAAAAGAUACAUCAUUUGAUUAUAUGCUGUUAUUCGUGACCAAUGUUCCUAGAGUUGCAAAUAGUUUAAUAUAUUGAAACUCUAUAACCAAAUACAAGUAUGGCUAUACAACAAGCUUAAAGGAUACCGCACACAUAUGGUAGCUGAUAUCGAAAAAGAUCUGCGGCCCCGAAGGUGCUUUUUGAAAUGAUCUACUUAUCGAUCAUCAAUCGAAGAAUUUAUAGGGAUCAGACGGACUCCUUUACUACAAUAGUAUCACCGUCUUCAAUAGAAUAAAAUGACAAGGGUCGAAGGUCGUUAUCAAGUGGAAUACAUAAGCCUGGAUUCUGUAUUGCAAAUUUGGAAAUUUUAUUUCGAAUGAUUUUUAAAAGAUGCAAAAAGAAACACGAUACCUUGGGGCCGUAAGAGAAAAAUGUGAGUUCAGAGCUAUGAAGAUUAAAGAGCCUGUGGAUUAAAACUUUCAGUUUCUGAACCUCCAUGGUUACAGGGAGUUUUUUUGAAAUUUGGUUUGACCCCCAUUCCAAACGCAGCACUGAAAGUUAUGGAUUAUUCGUCUGUAUAUAUAUGAAUAUUUUUAUUUAACGAAAUACUCACUAAUUAGUGCAUUCUUUAAAGUAGUUGGUUUUGUUUCGUAUUCGCCUUGUUCAGGUGGUCCAUACUCUGGAAGAAUAAAAAAGCACAUCAAAGAAAUUUAAAUUAGGUUAGGAAGUUAGAGAAGCUCAAAAAGCUCAAAAA